rnacentral:rRNA from 1 species
CAGCCGCCGCGGGAAUACGAAGGGGGCUAGCGUUGCUCGGAAUUACUGGGCGUAAAGGGCGCGUAGGCGGACAGUUCAGUCGGGGGUGAAAGCCCGGGGCUCAACCUCGGAAUUGCCUUCGAUACUGGCUGUCUUGAGUAUGAGAGAGGUGUGUGGAACUCCGAGUGUAGAGGUGGAAUUCGUAGAUAUUCGGAAGAACACCAGUGGCGAAGGCGACACACUGGCUCAUUACUGACGCUGAGGCGCGAAAGCGUGGGGAGCAAACAGUAUUAGAUACCCCUGUAGUCCCUGUCUCUUAUAA